AGGCUUCCUUGAUAGCAGCUGGAUCAUGCAGCCACACUCUACUGAGCAAGCUCACUUCUGCAGCUCUCCUGAAAAGGAGCCCAUGAAAAUCGAUCACUCUGGUCAUAAGUGCAAUUUUCCGGAUCAAUUUCCAGUUUUACAAGGAGCAGCAAUUCACAGAAAAUAGCAUUUGAGAUGAUGUCACAUAACUGACAAAGGUAAGAUGUGUGAUGAGAAGCAAAAAAAUGCACAAUAUAGAUUCAAGUUGGAGUGUUGCUUUUGACUUUUAAGUCUUGUUACACAGAGGCAUAUCCAGUUCAGUGCUGUUUGAAGUAGAUUCUUUUUCUGUUUAUUACAGAUAAUCUUUUAAUAGAACCUUAACAAAAACAAAAAAAAAAAAACAAAAAAACAGGAGUGAGAAAACGUGUGAGGGCUUAAGCAAGUCAAAAUUUUAAAAUUGUUUUUAUAGUACCGUAUGAAAAACAGUCUUACAUUCUGAGCUUUUGUCUUCAGAAGAGAUAUCCUCAGAACACUCCAGCACUUACACUGAUGAAAUUGCAAAAAAUUGCUCAGUGGAUGCUUUUAUUAUACUGCAGCACUUUUAGGCCUAUCCAAACUAAUAUUAGUCUAGUUAGUGUGUUUAUUAGUAAGAAGACUGUGGCAAAAUCUUGAGCAAUCCCCGCUGGGAUUUGGAGGAUGUGUCUUUAUGGAUACUAAUGAAGUAGACUAUUACUUUAUAGAUUGAUCAAGGGAAUAGAGUUCCUGAGUUCUUCAGACUGAUUUAGGCAUUCUGUUUGAAUGUUGCUUUACUUCCAAAG
rnacentral:lncRNA from 1 species